AUGGGCAGGCCAGCAUGGCGCCGGCGACGGUUGUUGCCGCCGCAGCAUCCAUCCAAGUGGGCCACUCCACUCCCGGCCUAUCCAUCCAUCUACCCAGCCAGUUGCUGCUCUUGCUCACGCCAUAUCCGCCCGUGGACCCGGCCCACCAAUCACCGCCCGCCUGGACCGCGGGCCCCGCGCGCCAGCGGCCCGUCCCCGCGUCCUCCUGCCCGCCGUCCGCCGUGA
rnacentral:rRNA from 1 species